AUGUGUCAUCUUUAGAGCAAAGAUAAGUGGCACCAACCUUAGGUUAGCUAGUGACAUAUGUCCACUAUAUAUAUAUAUUUUUAACUUAAAUAUGAAUCUUUCAUAAAUUAUAUCAAACUUCUAAUAUUUACUCUUAGGUCCCUAGCCAUAAAUUUUUAAUAUAAUAUCAUUGAAUAUAAAAUAAUUAUUAAAUAAUCCUUAUUUUUACAAACAAACCUUUUACUAAAUUUUAAAAAACAUGGGGGAUGUUAUAGUCCCACGCCCGCGUCCGCGCCUCUUGAGGUGGCCGAGCCGUCCACGUGUAGGAUCCACGCUUCCUCAGACUGCUCGAGACCCACGUCAUUGAUCUGAGCAAGUUUCGCGACGAAGUCGGCUACGGAUUGGGCUUUGACGGCAGUCCUCGGUACGUAACGUAUGUCGAACUCCCUGAGUUCUACCGACCACUUGAGGAGCCGACCUGCAACAUCGAAUUUAGAUAAAACCUACCUGAGCAGUUGGUCGGUGAUUACCUCAAUCGGGUGGGCUUGGAAGUAGGGGCGUAGCUUCUGAGCCGCUAGCAUGAGCGCCAGAGCCAGUCUCUCUAUCGGCGGGUACCGCUCCUCUGGCCCGUUUAGGACAUGGCUGACGUAGUAGACUGGUAGUUGCUCGCCGAAGACUUCUUUUAUCAAGACAGAGCUGACCGCUUGCCGAGAGGCAGCCAGGUAGAUUCUGAGUUUUUCCCCAAAAGAGACCGAGGCAAGGUGGGGGAGGUUGGCCAAGUGUCGUUUGACUUGGCCAAAAGCUUCUUCGCACUGCGCCGUCCAUUGGAAGUUCUUCGGGUUCUUUAGUGCCCGGAAGAAGGGGAGGCAACGAUCGCUAGAUCGAGAUAGGAACCGGGAUAAGGCAACGAGCCUUCCGUUCAGUCGCUGCAAGUCCUUGAUUGUCCGGGGGGGCUUGCAUAUCGAUGAUCGCCUGGACCUUUUCCGGGUUGACGUCGAUUCCUCUUUCAUGUACGAUGAACCCGAGGAACUUUCCCGAGCUGACACCGAAAACACACUUUGCCGGGUUGAGUCGUAGACCAUACCUCCGCAGCGUGGCAAAUGUUUCGGUCAAGUCGGUCAGGUGAUCUGCCGCCGCACGGCUCUUCACGAUCAUGUCGUCAACAUAGACCUCGAAGUUCCGCUUGAUCUGUUGGGCAAACAUCUUGUUCACGGCUCUCUGAUAGGUUGCGCCUGCAUUCUUUAGCCCGAACAACAUUACUUUAUAGAAAUACACUCCUAGAUCGGUGAGGAAAGCCGUGUGUUCUUGGUCCUCGGGCGUCAUUCUGAUCUGGUUGUAGCCGGAGAAGGCGUCCAUGAACGAAAGGCGGGCAUGCCCGGCGGUUGUGUCGAUCAGCUGGUCGAUCCUCGGGAGGGGAUAGCAGUCCUUUGGGCAUGCACGAUUGAGACUGGUGUAGUCAACACACAUCCUCCAGCUUCCAUUAGAUUUCUUCACCAGAACUACAUUGGACAGCCAUCGCGAGUACUUGACUUCCUCAAUGAAGCCAACUGCCAAGAGUCGCUCCAACUCUUCGCGGACGGCCUGCUAUCUGUCCGAGGCUUAGGAUCGCGGUUUCUGCUUCACUGGCCGAGCAUCGGGUGAAAUGUUCAAGUGAUGUUAGGCGGUCUUCGGAUCGACGCCUGUCAUGUCAGAUGGCGACCAAGCGAAGACGUCGGCGUUCUCUUGCAAGAAGCCAACAAGUUGCCCCCGCUCCUGCUCGAGGAGUUCCGAUCCGACUUUAAUCAUUCGGUCUGGCCGAUCCUUUAUCAACGGUAUGUCACAGGUGGGGGCCAUCGGCUCGGGAUGCGGGGUAGGUUGCUUCGUUUCCCUUGGGUCCUCCAGGGGUCAAUUGGUCUUCGCCCUUUUGUGAAGAGAAACUGCCGUCAAGUAGCACUGUCUGGACUCCCGAGGGCUCCCCCAGACCUCCCCAGUCCCUGCGUGGGUCGGGAACUUCACCGUCUGGUGGUAGGUGGAGACUACGGCCCUAAUCUUGUUGAGGGUGGGGCGACCGAGGAUGGCAUUGUACGCCGUAGGGAGAUCCACCACUAGGAAGGUGGACAUCACCGUCUUUGAUCUGGGCGGUGCUCCUAGAGUCAGGGGCAAGGUGACGGUUCCCAACGGUGAGAUCGAGUCGCCGGUGAACCCUGUGAGCGUCGAGCAGAUAGGCUCCACGGCCUCUUUAGCUAACCCCAGUUUUUGGAAAGCGUCAAGAUAUAGCACGUCAGUUGAGCUCCCCAUGUCGAUCAUGAUUCUCCUCACCUGGGCGUUGGCGAUUCGAGCCAUUAUCACGAGCGCAUCGUUGUGCUCUGGUCGCUCAGCGCCUUAGGGGGGGAACGCGACCUCAAGGUCGGGGCCGCGUCGGGGAGUGUCGUCCUUAGCUAAGCAGGCGUAUGCCUUCCUUCCUAACAUACUGAUCCCACCGGACGCUGGGCCGCCACUGAUGACGUCGAUGUGGCGCUCAACGGGACCCUCUGGAUGGGGCGACGAUCCCCUAUUCUGUCGGACGUACCGACUGAGGUGUCCUCUGCGGACGAGCUCCUCGAUUUGCUGCUUCAGCUCGCGGCACUCUUCAGUAUCGUGUCUGCUUUGCCAGUGGAAGCGACAAUACUUGGAUCUGGUGAUCGUUGCCUCCCCUUCUUUCUAUUCUCAUUCAGCCUAUGAGGCUCUGAAUCCCUCCUAUUUAUAGAGGUCCCCUAUCCAACCCUAAUGGAUCCUCGCCUAUUGGGUAUUGGAUCUGCAUCCAAUAACCCAAGCCUUUUAGAUUAGUGGAUCUCUAUCCAAUAAUCUCUCAUGGGCUCUUAUUAGAUCUCAUUCAUGGGAUCCAAUAAUUCAGGGGCUUAUUGGAUAUCCAAUAAGACAAGGGCUCCAUCGGAUAUCUCAUAUCCAAACCUCUACUCAUCGCAAUGCCUACCAUAUGUGUGUGAUCCUCUAGGCCCAAUAUCGAGCUGGCCGUGAGUCAUACCUGUCAGAACUCCUUCUAACUCAAUGAAUUAUUAUCUCUGUAAUAAUUCACUUGACUCAUCGACUACGGACGUACUAGGCCACUACGCCGUAGUCCCAAGACGAUACAGGAGAAUCCAAUCCAUUAGACCUGUCUGUCCUCAAUUAUCGUGUACCUAUAGUCCCUCAUCCAUCUAAUAUCCCAGAGACCGUAUAUCGAGCAUGGUGUUGUCAGACCCAUACGGUUUCUACUCGAGUCUCGCUCUAAUCGGAUUCUCCCGGAGAACUCUUUCUCUCUCAACCCGAAUGACCCUGGCCAGGGAUUUGUCUGAGCAAGAAUACAUGGGAUAUUCCUCUUAUGACGCCGAGAGUGGAUGAUCCUCUAUCAACACUCAAUAACCCUCGUAAGGUCGACUACCACUCUCAAUGACCAAUUGUACUAGAUCUGGGACAGCCAAACCUAUAAGUCUGGUAUCAAAGAGUGGAGCAGUCAUACAGGAUAUCCUUGGUGUCUCAAGUCUAAGGACCAGAUAUACCACUAGGACUACGGAAUCACUGUCUGACAAUAAGGCAUCAUCAACCAUCCAGCAUUCCGUAAGCUGAUCAAUUAGUGAACUCAUUCUCCAAUGAGCACCUGUACUGUAUCCCUAGUGUCCCUACAUGAGCAGCUAUGAGACCCGCUGCAUCCAUCAUAUGGAUGGGUAUACAGCACACCAGUCUAUCCGGUUAUCACGAUAUCCCUCUCGAGAAACCUAUGAUCGAGAUUAUUUAGGAUAUGUGUUUAAAGGUGAAUCGAUCUCAUUUUCGUGAUCUCAUCACGAUCCGAUUCCCAUUGCACAAAUCCAAGGACAUCACAAUAUAUAUAUGCAUAUAUGUAAUAGUUAUAAAGUGAUAUAUACCAAAAUAUAAUAAGUAAAAUAAUAUUCUGUAUCAAGUCACACGUAUCAUUACUCACGUGAUUGGCUUACUGAGCACCUAUGACUAGCAAUCUCUACCAUCAUGUUACAAGGUUCACACCGAUUAUGUUCUCCUUAGCUUUCUUGGUAGCAAUGUUCGCUUACUCGACCUUAUCCUCUGACUUGUCGGGCUCCCAUAAGCGAAUAUGGGCUCUGAAGUAGUCCAACUCUCUAACUGCUUCAAUCAUACCUCUGCAUGAUCAAGUCCCUCCCAUGGGACUCACUGGUACUUGCAUUCGAACUUUUCCCUCGGUAGUACACAGCCCCCAUAUGUUGAUGACCAAGGCUUUCAUCCGAUGCAAAAUUUGAUGCAGCACGGAAGACCCGCCUCUGCGGUAUCAUGACCUUCACUCCUUGAAUCCAUAGCCUUCUUGUUGUCGUGCUAUUCAUCGAAGUGGAGCUCCCAGUAGCUCCCGAUCGUACCUCCGUAUGAUAUAGUCCCUCAUAGGACUAUAUUCGUGUGUAUCGCAUUGCCACGAACUGUUCCACCACGAUCCGCUGCACCAUGUCGCCUCUUGGUGAUAUCUCCAUUGCAUUCUGAUCCUUGUGGGAUGAACUCGGUUUGUGAUCCCUCAAUGUGUGGCCUCUGCCAACAUAUCACAGGGCAUCUUCCACCUUCAAUUGUGUUCGCUCCUUUGGCAAUUGACCUUUAUCCACCCGCUCUUGGGUCACACCUAGAUGAAGCAUCGCUCUAGGAAAGUCCAUCGCUUAGUAGCUCUCGAAGUCCACCGACUUAGCUAAAAAUGGUGCACCGUUGUCUGGAUCCUGGGCCUUUACCCCUCACUAGCACAAUCUCCGCUGCGCACCGCUUCCUUCAUGGCAGCAUUGCUACAUAUUCUUCAAGAGUACCCACCUUUGCAUCCUCUUGCCCCGUGCUAAGGCCUUCGAAAACCAACUUCGCCUCAGUAAGUUGAGUCGCCUCAAUUCCUCCAUCAAAUGCUUCUCUGAGGGAAGGUGCAUGUGCCUCAAAGCUCUCUUCGUCUUUGACACCAUGCAGGAUGAGCCCGUUUCAUCAGAAUGAAGGACCCAUGGAACGACAUGAUCCUGCUCUUGCCUCUACAAGAGUUCAUGUUCUUGACCUCUAUCCAAGGAAAGCUCUAUGCCUCUGCUCUAUGUUCCAUCUUCUAUGUCGGCUCCCUUCAUGCGGCUUAGGUACUUCACCAAGUUACACCCAAGUUGCUCCGCUCCUCGUUUUGCAUUGAGUUGAUGGUGGCUCUCGUGCCCACCAUUUCACGGGUCAGCCCUCCAUUGAGUCUAAUCUUCAUAUCGACUCCAAAUGUGUCUUCAUUUGUGUUGUCUUAGGUCGCUCCCCCACUUGAUCUCGCAAUACAUUUUCUCAAGCGAGAUCGUGCGACGACUCCUCGUCGCUCACUCGAUCCAUUGAGCUUCAUGGAGUUGUUGCCUUUGAGGUACUCCUCCUCAAUAUGUGCGGUCCAUUGCAUGUGAUUCUCCCUCUAGAGAGCCGGGACUUAUCUUUCCUGGGUAUCUAUCUCGUUGGAGCAACAUCUCUCUUCGUUUCCUUCCCUCUGAAAGUUUCGGAGAUCACCAUCCCCUUGGACUACUUCGACUUGCUGACCAAACUGUGCAUUGUUUUGCCUCGUACAAAAGCAUUUGCUAAAUUAUGACUCCACAUCAAUACAACCCCCGUUGCACUACUCAAGGCCUAGCAAUAUGAUGAACUCGCUGCACACUUCAGCCUCCUAUGGACGUAUCAUUCUCAUGCCGAAGAGAAAGUUUCAAUGCUCCAUGACGCCAAGUUUCGGUCGCCUUGGGAUGGCCGCGAACAUUCCAUCGUCAGCAUACAAGCCCUUGCAUGAGUACUAAAUUUUUCGAGUUAGCAAUUCCCCUCACCUCUGUGAGCAUUACACAACUCUUUCGGUCAUUGAGUAACACAUUCCACCUUGCAUGGUCUCAUCCUUUACCAAGCACCUCACUUGCCUCGAGCACCAUCAAGUAUCAUUGUCAACAUCGAGCCGUAGCUCGAACUCAACCAUCCCAACGUUUGUGCGCUACACAUUCUUCUAAGCUUGCUUGUUAUCGUGGUGCCUCUUGCGCGAAGGGUGGGUCAUUCCUUUGAAUGCCAAUCUCAGAUGCCCACUCCUCCAAGUGACUUCUUUUUCCUACAUCUCCAUGCUCGUUUUCCCCCAAACGGUCGUGCGUGCUGACUACCCUCAACGCAGCCCAGCUAAGUCCCCCACGUUUUUCAUGCCAAGUGUUUCUAUGAGUGUUUGUCCUGCUCUAAUACCAUCAGUCACGGACUUAUCUGGUUUUACCUAAGUCGUGUGGCACCCUUACGUGUCCGUCCACAAAAGGUCAGCCUCUCCGAAACUUCCCAUGAUCCCUUAAAACCUACAAAAAGAAAAAACGGGUUAAAGAAAGCGCCUCACUCGGGAUCCACAAGUAAUCAUUUCAGAAAACACUUCAUAGCCAAUGCAAAUUACAAACAGACUUUACAAGUUCUGAACGGUUAUACAACAAAUGGUCAAAAUUGUCCACUACAGAUUGAAUAUCUCUACAAGUGUCCACAUGACACAACAUUUAUUUACAAGUUUAAAAAGGCUACCAAACUCAAUUAAAAUAGGGCUGUUUCGACCGUCCCUCUCCAUGCCGUGUAAAAUAUAAACAAAUCAAAAUAUACGGACAUAGAUAAUCAUUAUAUCAAAUAUCUAAUUUCGACCGUCCCUCUAGCUGUGUAUUCUCGUAAGUUAAUGUUGUUUCCCGAGAAUUCUCCACCGAAUGCCUCGUUAGGAGGCUUUUCUGGAAGCCUGAGUUCUCAUAAAGCAUGCCUCGGAGAAUGAAAUCUUCUGUUCCGUGUGGAUUGAUUCUUGUUGAAGAUCAUUUGUAUACCUCUUUUUGUGAACGAUUAUGAUGCCAAUGUGGAGUGACAGAGUCUUCAGUUGGUGUGAUUUUUCUGGAUUGACCAUGUCAUUCUUCAUUCGAAGGAUCAAGGAAGUUCUACUGUUGGCGGAGGGAAUAUUUGCUUGAUACAAUUUGAUGCAGGGAAUCUUGGUGUGGUUUAGCCUAAUGGAAGACAAAUUCAUGCAGCAAAUAUCCUGCACUGGGGUAUGGGUGUGGGAUCUGCAGAUAAUAAGGUGUUUAAAUCAGAUAUCUACCCCAAGAUCGUGCGUGGAGCCUUGAUGUAACAUGUGGGCCGGCCUGCUGAUGUGCUGCAUUCCUUUUGAUUGAAUCCAUGAGUGACCCGAUCAUGGCAUCAACAUUUAAUCCCCAGUGGCGCAUGUGCUCUGAUCGCAUUAAUUCAACACGGAAUUAGCAAAGGAAGAUGCUACGUCGAAUCCUAUCAGAUCAUGAUUGAAACCCGAAUCACUACGGCAUACAUGUGACAGGCCAUAUGCCUCCGCCGCUUAGCACAGUAUGCUAUCCCGGUGGUUCUCCCGCAUUAACGUGCUGUGGUUGGGGGCCACGCAAUGAAUGCCGACUUCCCCUCCCUGUGAUGGUAAAACGUGUGUCCGUAUCCCAGCGAAUGCCCAGUGAUAUUUUAGAGGGAGAGAGAGAGAGAGAGAGAGAGAGUGUGUGUGUGUGUGUCGCAGCACUACAGCAGCAGAAGCGGUUUUGGCGUCUAAUGGGUGGAAUGAAUGCGGCUGUUGGCUACCGGAAGAUGACAGCAACGGGUCCAUGGCGGGCGGUCCUGGUGGUUCUCUCGCCUCCCCCAGCUGCGUUGGCUGCAGGUUAACCCUAGCCACGAGGGUCGUGCACGAUUUGGAUGGUUGGAUGCAAGAAGGCUGGACCCCGCGGUGCAUGUGAACCCAGUGCCGCCAUGGGAGACAUGAGACGACAACCUCAUCUUUCGGCGUGACCGACCUACUUGUUCGGAUCCUCUCCGCCGAUCGGCUGCUAGGGUUUCGAUCUCAAGUAACCUGCACAUCCUCUUCCAGCUUUCUGCUGCUGCCCGAAGAGUUCCUCCUCCAACACACGUUAAGCCAUGUCACAUAGACCUUUAAUGCCUGCAGGUAGUGGAUAAAACUAGGAUCACAUGAUGGAACAAUGGCAGGAAAUGACUGCUAUUAGACCUCACGAAUAACCGGAAUUACUGAGUCCAGAUUCUCCAAGAAAGGAUAAGGUAAGGUCAAAUCUAAGAACAGUACUUGAGGACGGACGACCAACUCGUCAAGGUCAACGGGGGCAUGCAGGAGUAGCUGUCUACGAUUAAGUACUCGCAGAAACUAUGCCGUUCUAAUUCAUUGCAGGGUAAACAUGAUCGGUGCAUGGUUUGUGAGAUAAUGGUUGACAUUAGAACGAGAGAUUCUUUUUGUUCGUAAAUAUUAUCUCGAUCAAUCAAAGGACCACAAUCUUGAUGAGACUUUACGGUGAGGACCAUUCUCGCAUUCAGGCCACCCUACACAGGCUGCCUCAAUCUCUCUUUGUCUCACUACCAUUUACUAGACCAUUGAAACCUUCAUCAAUCCCUUCCAGAUCUAACGGUUCUUAGAAAAUAAGGGAUUCUUCCAAGUACUC